CCUACGGGAGGCAGCAGUGAGGAAUAUUGGUCAAUGGGCGCGAGCCUGAACCAGCCAAGUCGCGUGAGGGAUGACGGUCCUACGGAUUGUAAACCUCUUUUGCCGGGGAGCAAGCGUGCGUUCGUGAACGCGCGUCGAGAGUACCCGGAGAAAAAGCAUCGGCUAACUCCGUGCCAGCAGCCGCGGUAAUACGGAGGAUGCGAGCGUUAUCCGCAUUUAUUGGGUUUAAAGGGUGCGUAGGCGGGAUGCCAAGUCAGCGGUAAAAGUGCGGUGCUCAACGCCGUCGAGCCGUUGAAACUGGCGUGCUUGAGUGGGCGAGAAGUAUGCGGAAUGCGUGGUGUAGCGGUGAAAUGCAUAGAUAUCACGCAGAACUCCGAUUGCGAAGGCAGCAUACCGGCGCCCUACUGACGCUGAGGCACGAAAGCGUGGGUAUCGAACAGGAUUAGAUACCCGAGUAGUC
rnacentral:rRNA from 1 species